GGAUGAGUUGCGAACGGGUGAGUAAACGCGUAGGUAACCUGCCUGGUAGCGGGGGAUAACUAUUGGAAACGAUAGCUAAUACCGCAUAAUAUUGACUAUUGCAUGAUAGGUGAUUAAAAGGUGCAAUUGCAUCACUACCAGAUGGACCUGCGUUGUAUUAGCUAGUUGGUGAGGUAACGGCUCACCAAGGCGACGAUACAUAGCCGACCUGAGAGGGUGAUCGGCCACACUGGGACUGAGACACGGCCCAGACUCCUACGGGAGGCAGCAGUAGGGAAUCUUCGGCAAUGGACGGAAGUCUGACCGAGCAACGCCGCGUGAGUGAAGAAGGUUUUCGGAUCGUAAAGCUCUGUUGUAAGAGAAGAACGAGUGUGAGAGUGGAAAGUUCACACUGUGACGGUAUCUUACCAGAAAGGGACGGCUAACUACGUGCCAGCAGCCGCGGUAAUACGUAGGUCCCGAUCGUUGUCCGGAUUUAUUGGGCGUAAAGCGAGCGCAGGCGGUUAGAUAAGUCUGAAGUUAAAGGCUGUGGCUUAACCAUAGUACGCUUUGGAAACUGUUUAACUUGAGUGCAAGAGGGGAGAGUGGAAUUCCAUGUGUAGCGGUGAAAUGCGUAGAUAUAUGGAGGAACACCGGGGGCGAAAGCGGCUCUCUGGCUUGUAACUGACGCUGAGGCUCGAAAGCGUGGGGAGCGAACAGGAUUAGAUACCCUGGUAGUCCACGCCGUAAACGAUGAGUGCUAAGUGUUAGACCCUUUCCGGGGUUUAGUGCCGCAGCUAACGCAUUAAGCACUCCGCCUGGGGAGUACGACCGCAAGGUUGAAACUCAAAGGAAUUGACGGGGGCCCGCACAAGCGGUGGAGCAUGUGGUUUAAUUCGAAGCAACGCGAAGAACCUUACCAGGUCUUGACAUCCCUCUGACCACUCUAGAGAUAGAGUUUUCCUUCGGGACAGAGGUGACAGGUGGUGCAUGGUUGUCGUCAGCUCGUGUCGUGAGAUGUUGGGUUAAGUCCCCGCAACGAGCGCAACCCCUAUUGUUAGUUGCCAUCAUUUAGUUGGGCACUCUAGCGAGACUGCCGGUAAUAAACCGGAGGAAGGUGGGGAUGACGUCAAAUCAUCAUGCCCCUUAUGACCUGGGCUACACACGUGCUACAAUGGCUGGUACAACGAGUCGCAAGCCGGUGACGGCAAGCUAAUCUCUUAAAGCCCGUCUCAAUUCGGAUUGUAGGCUGCAACUCGCCUACAUGAAGUCGGAAUCGCUAGUAAUCGCGGAUCAGCACGCCGCGGUGAAUACGUUCCCGGGCCUUGUACACACCGCCCGUCACACCACGAGAGUUUGUAACACCCGAAGUCGGUGAGGUAACCUUUUAGGAGCCAGCCGCCUAAGGUGGGAUAGAUGAUUGGGGUGAAGUCGUAACAAGGUAGCCGUAUCGGAAGGUGCGGCUGGAACACCUCCUUC
rnacentral:rRNA from 1 species